rnacentral:tRNA from 1 species
ACCCUGGAGGACUAGUGGUUAGGCCACAGAGCUCUCACUGCUGCAACCCGGGUUUGAUUCCCGGCCAGGGAA